rnacentral:rRNA from 1 species
GACGAACGCUGGCGGCGUGCUUAACACAUGCAAGUCGAACGGAAAGGCCCUGCUUUUGUGGGGUGCUCGAGUGGCGAACGGGUGAGUAACACGUGAGUAACCUGCCCUUGACUUUGGGAUAACUUCAGGAAACUGGGGCUAAUACCGGAUAGGAGCUCCUGCUGCAUGGUGGGGGUUGGAAAGUUUCGGCGGUUGGGGAUGGACUCGCGGCUUAUCAGCUUGUUGGUGGGGUAGUGGCUUACCAAGGCUUUGACGGGUAGCCGGCCUGAGAGGGUGACCGGCCACAUUGGGACUGAGAUACGGCCCAGACGCCUACGGGAGGCAGCAGUGGGGAAUAUUGCACAAUGGGCGGAAGCCUGAUGCAGCAACGCCGCGUGCGGGAUGACGGCCUUCGGGUUGUAAACCGCUUUCGCCUGUGACGAAGCGUGAGUGACGGUAAUGGGUAAAGAAGCACCGGCUAACUGCGUG